CAGCCGCCGCGGUAAUACGAAGGUCCCGAGCGUUGUUCGGAAUCACUGGGCGUAAAGGGAGCGUAGGCGGUAUGGUAAGUCAGAUGUGAAAUCUUGGGGCUCAACCCUGAAACUGCAUCCGAUACUGCCAAACUUGAGUAAUGGAGGGGUAACUGGAAUUCUCGGUGUAGCAGUGAAAUGCGUGGAUAUCGAGAGGAACACUCGUGGCGAAGGCGAGUUACUGGACAUUUACUGACGCUGAGGCUCGAAGGCUAGGGUAGCGAAAGGGAUUAGAUACCCCUGUAGUCCUAGCAGUAAACGGUGUGCGCUUGGUGUGAGGGGUUUCGACCCCCCUUGUGCCGGAGCUAACGCGUUAAGCGCACCGCCUGGGAAGUACGGUCGCAAGACUAAAACUCAAAGAAAUUGACGGGGACCCGCACAAGCGGUGGAGUAUGUGGCUUAAUUCGAUGCAACGCGAAGAACCUUACCAGGGCUUGACAUGUAUCGCUAAUCCGGUGAAAGCCGGUGAGACUUCGGUCACUUUACACAGGUGCUGCAUGGCCGUCGUCAGCUCGUGUCGUGAGAUGUUGGGUUAAGUCCCGCAACGAGCGCAACCCCUGUGAUUAGUUGCCAGCACGUAAUGGUGGGGACUCUAAUCAGCCUGCCCAGAUCAACUGGGAGGAAGGUGGGGAUGACGUCAGGUCAGUAUGGCCCUUACGCCCUGGGCUGCACACGUACUACAAUGCCCAGUACAAUUAGAACCGAUACCGCGAGGUGGAGGAAAUCUGAAAAACUGGGCCCAGUUCGGAUUGGAGGCUGCAACUCGCCUCCACGAAGCCGGAAUCGCUAGUAAUGGUGCAUCAGCUACGGCACCGUGAAUACGUUCCCGGGUCUUGUACACACCGCCCGUCACAUCAUGGAAGCCGGUAGCACCCGAAGUAUCGUUUAAUCGGUCCUAAGGUGAAGCUGGUAACUGGGAUGAAGUCGUAACAAGGUAGCCGUA
rnacentral:rRNA from 1 species